rnacentral:rRNA from 1 species
CCUACGGGUGGCAGCAGUGAGGAAUAUUGGUCAAUGGGCGCGAGCCUGAACCAGCCAAGUAGCGUGAAGGAUGACUGCCCUACGGGUUGUAAACUUCUUUUAUAAAGGAAUAAAGUGAGGCACGUGUGCCUUUUUGUAUGUACUUUAUGAAUAAGGAUCGGAUAACUCCGUGCCAGCAGCCGCGGUAAUACGGAGGAUACGAGCGUUAUCCGGAUUUAUUGGGUUUAAAGGGAGCGUAGAUGGGUUGGGAAGUCAGUUGAGAGAGUGUGCGGAUUAACCGUAAAAGUGCAGUUGAUACGGGCAGUCUGGAGGACAGUGGAGGUAGGCGGAAUGCGUGGUGACGCAGUGAAAUGCGUAGA